rnacentral:rRNA from 1 species
GACGAACGCUGGCGGCGUGCCUAAUACAUGCAAGUAGAACGAGUUGCGAACGGGUGAGUAACACGUGGUAACCUGCCCCAUAGCGGGGGAUAACCAUUGGAAACGAUAGCUAAUACCGCAUACCAUCAGAUGUGCCCAGACGGGAUUUGCUAGUUGGUGGGGUGACGGUUUACCUAGGCGACGUGUCCUAGCUGGUCUGCGAGGAUGACCAGCCACCCGGGAACUGAGACACGGUCCAGACUCCUACGGGAGGCAGGAGGGGAGAAUAUUGCACAAUGGGCGAAAGCCUGAGACCGCCAUGCCGCGUGUAUGAAGAAGGCCUUCGGGUUGUAAAGUACUUUCAGCGUGGAGGCGUUACCCGCAGAAGAAGCACCGGCUAACUCCGUGCCAGCAGCCGCGGUAAUAC